AAAAGUGCUAACGAUUCGACCAACCAACCACGAAAACCGGAUGAUUGUAAAAAUGGGACCAGGAAGAGAGUAAACUAGAUUUGCUCCCCUCUCAUAGGCAAAAAGAUAUGUACUUUCAUAACCAACACACACACACACAGGGUAAAGUAAUUCGAAAUUUCACCUGCUGGCAUUAGCAUGCUGAUGCUGCAGCUGCAAGUCCUUGAGCUGCUGCUGCUGUUGCUGCUGGGACGAUAUGCCAAUGCAGCUGGCAGCAGCAGCAGAGUUAGUAGUGAUAGCUGAGGUAGAGGUAGCCAAUUGUUGUACCACUUUGGUUCCAGACACGCCAUGGCCA
rnacentral:lncRNA from 1 species